GACGUAGGGUGCAAGCGUUGUCCGGAUUUAUUGGGCGUAAAGAGCUCGUAGGCGGCUCGUCGCGUCGACUGUGAAAACUCGGGGCUUAACCCUGGGCCUGCAGUCGAUACGGGCGGGCUAGAGUUCGGUAGGGGAGACUGGAAUUCCUGGUGUAGCGGUGAAAUGCGCAGAUAUCCGGAGGAACACCGGUGGCGAAGGCGGCUUCCUGGACCGACACUGACGCUGAGGCGCGAAAGCUAGGGGAGCAAACGGG
rnacentral:rRNA from 1 species